rnacentral:tRNA from 2 species
GCCGGCGUGGCUCAAUGGUAGAGCAAGGGUUUUGUAAACCCUAGGUUGGGGGUUCGAUUCCUCUCGCCGGCUCCA